UAACUGAUUAAAACUUAUC
rnacentral:snRNA from 1 species